rnacentral:rRNA from 1 species
CCUACGGGUGGCUGCAGUGGGGGAUAUUGCACAAUGGGGGGAACCCUGAUGCAGCGACGCCGCGUGGGUGAAGAAGCGCCUCGGCGCGUAAAGCCCUGUCAUCAGGGAAGAAAAUGACGGUACCUGAAGAUGAAGCCCCGGCUAACUACGGGCCAGCAGCCGCGGUAAUACGUAGGGGGCAGGCGUUAUCCGGAUUUUCUGGGUGGAAAGGGGGCGGAGACGGCGAUGCAAGGCAGGAGUGAAAGCCCGGGGCCCAACCCCGGGACUGCUGUUGGAACUGCGGGGCGGGAGUGCAGGAGGGGCAGGCGGAAUGCCUGGUGUAGCGGUGAAAUGCGUAGAUAUCAGGAGGAACACCGGUGGCGAAGGCGGCCUGCUGGACUGCAACUGACGUUGAGGCACGAAAGCGUGGGGAGCAAACAGGAUUAGAUACCCCGGUAGUC